GACGAACGCUGGCGGCGUGCUUAACACAUGCAAGUCGAACGGUAAGGCCUUUCGGGGUACACGAGUGGCGAACGGGUGAGUAACACGUUGGUGAUCUGCCCUGCACUUCGGGAUAAGCCCGGGAAACUGGGUCUAAUACCGUAUAGGACUGCGCGGUGCAUGCCGUGUGGUGGAAAGAUUUAUCGGUGCAGGAUGGGCCCGCGGCCUAUCAGCUUGUUGGUGGGGUAAUGGCCUACCAAGGCGACGACGGGUAGCCGGCCUGAGAGGGCGACCGGCCACACUGGGACUGCGACACGGCCCAGACUCCUACGGGAGGCAGCAGUGGGGAAUAUUGCACAAUGGGCGCAAGCCUGAUGCAGCGACGCCGCGUGAGGGAUGACGGCCUUCGGGUGGUAAACCUCUUUCAGCAGGGACGAAGCGUGAGUGACGGUACCUGCAGAAGAAGCACCGGCCAACUACGUG
rnacentral:rRNA from 1 species